UGGGGAAUCUUGCGCAAUGGGCGAAAGCCUGACGCAGCGACGCCGCGUGGGGGAAGAAGGCUUUCGGGUUGUAAACCCCUUUCAGGAGAGACGAAGCUACUCGGGUUAAUAGCCCAGAGGGUGACGGUAUCUCCAGAAGAAGCCCCGGCUAACUACGUGCCAGCAGCCGCGGUAAUACGUAGGGGGCAAGCGUUGUCCGGAUUUAUUGGGCGUAAAGAGCGUGUAGGCGGUUGGGUAGGUCCGUUGUGAAAACUCGAGGCUCAACCUCGAGACGCCGAUGGAAACCCCCUGACUAGAGUCCGGAAGAGGAGAGUGGAAUUCCUGGUGUAGCGGUGAAAUGCGCAGAUAUCAGGAAGAACACCCGUGGCUAAGGCGGCUCUCUAGUACGGUACUGACGCUGAGACGCGAAAGCGUGGGGAGCGAACAG
rnacentral:rRNA from 1 species